AAGAAGUGCCAAUAAACCAGAGCACGUUUUUCUCCCAUCCCGGAAUGUUGUGUGGACUAGCCAGACCCUCCUCCGCAGCGCUGUGGAGGAAGCCUAAAAUCUCUUGUUUCUCAAACCAACUCUGGUGGCUUGGACAGGACAGAUCGUGUCACGCUGUUACAACAGAUUUCAUCAUUUCAUCACGUACGAUACAUCUCAGUUAACUUUGUGACUUACCUCGGCUAUAUUUCUAAAGUUUAUUAAUCUUCGCAUACCCCAGAUUGCCUGUGAACAACCCUCCACAGAACAGAUGUGAACUCAGACGUUAUUAGUCGCUGGUUAAACACGUACGGUAGCAGGGGAGAGCAAUACCAACAGCAACUGUGAUGUUUCCCAGUCGAGAACUUUAGAAAUGUCCUCAUGCACAAAACGGCUCCACAAAGAAAUGGUUUUCCCCGUUUGGUGUGGAGGAACUUGGCUGGUCUGCAUAGAGCCCUCACCCCCAUCACUGCAGCCAGCAUCAAACAGCUGGAUAAAUGCCUAAAAACCAGAAGAAUGGAAGCUGUUAGAGCGGCGUCAGCAUGCUUCAAAACAACGUCUGAAACAAUGGAAGGAUGGAUUGCCCAGAGUGCAAGAUCAUUGAUGUCUUUGAGUAAAGUGUGCAGAUGUUUCCCCAUUUGAACGAUUAUGCUGUCUCACCUCCAGUGGUGGAAUGUAACUAAGUACAUUUACUCAAGUACUGUACUUACACUAAGUAC